rfam:Felis catus breed Abyssinian isolate Cinnamon chromosome B2 unlocalized genomic scaffold B2random_9032, whole genome shotgun sequence.
GCCUGGGUGGCUCAGUCAGGGAAGCGUCUGACUUCCACUCAGGUCAUGAUCUCACGGUUCGCGGGUUUGAGCCCCGUGUCAGGCU